AAAUCCGAGAUAGAUACGGGUUCUAAAAAAAAUAUCCCAAAAAGAUUUAGAUCAGGUAAGUAAUGAUAUGCCCUAACCCGGAUCCAAUCUGAUAUAAUCUUAAUAUCUAUCUCUCUUUCAAAAUUAUAAUGAUUUUAUAUUAUUUACAUGUAUCUGACCUAAUCCGAUCUGACCAACGACUUUAUAUAUCUGAUCCGAUCCGCAUCUCUGCUUAACUCGACCCGAGAUAGGUAUGGAAUGAGUAUGGAUAUAAACUUUUUACUUGUGAGAUGAGUAUAGAUAUAGAUCAAUUCGAUCCAUAUCCGGCCCAUUAACAUUCUUAGUUCUACGUACCUAAGCGAAAAAGAAGAAGCCUAUACCAAGCCCAAAAAAAUCAAGCAUAAGAAGAAAAAUUGCAAAGGCCUGCUCUUUGGGGCUUGAGAAUAAGCUUGAUCACAUCCCGAGGAGGAGGACCAGUGAUUAGGAGUAUGCACAGUUUGAUUCAGGUCAGUUUGGAUCAAACUUCAACCAAAUUAACUUGAAUUGAUUUUCUAAAAUCAAAAUCAAAAUCGAACCAAUCACAUAGAAAAAUCAAUUCAAACUAAUCUAAAACAAUCGAAUCAAUUUGGUUCGAUUUAUUGGAUUAUGAACUAUUGAGCUUCUACCAAAUGUGCAGUUUAUGGAAUAGACCGAAUGGGCUGCUAUGUAUUUUUAAGUCCUAAUCAUAGUCAAUGGACAACUUGUGGGAUGGGUUAAACGGGCAACUUAUGGAUGGGCAAAAUAAGCCAAAUGGGAUAGGACUACAACCUAUUUUAAGAAAAUAAGACAACUUAUGGUUUAUCAUACACACACGGGUUGGUCAGUUUAAAUCAGAUUUUUUCAAUCUGAAAAAUUGGAUCC
rnacentral:lncRNA from 1 species